CAUCGACAAGGAGUAGUCCUGUUGCGUUCGUUAGACAACAACAGACACGCGGUUGUUAAGUGAAGGUUAUCGUUAACCUAUAGUUUAAACCAGUAAUCUCGUUCGUCAAACCCAACGGCAGAACAUGGCGGAGAGAAGAUGUUAUUAUUUAAAGCGUAAUCCUCCUCAUGACGGUCAGUACUCCAUCAUCCCGUUCAAGACAGACGAGGUUAUACUAGGACGGUCAGUAGAAGCAACCAAUUUAAUUCUUGAUAGAGGUAUAUCUAGGAAACAUGCUUUAUUCACACGCAGAGGUGAUAACUGGAUUGUUAAGAACCUUAGUCUGAAUGGAGUAUUAGUGAAUGAUAAACCUGUAAAGACAGAGGAGGAGCAGGAUUUGAGUAUUGGUGACACAAUCAUAUUUGGUGGGUCAUCAAAAUUUACGUAUCAUUUUGGUGUGAAGGAGAUAAUGGCCAGGGAAGGAAGUACCAGUACUUCUCAGUCCUGCUCCAACAACAAGAGACUUAAAUCUGAGGACAGCCGAAGUAUUUUGCAGACCAACCUAAGCCAAGAACAUGCAAUACUAGAGCAACAGUUAAAGGAGAGUGAUGCCCUUCAACUCAGAUUGGAACAGGAGAGAAACCAGUUGCGUGAUUCACUGCAAAAACAACAGGAACAACUAAAAGACAAAUAUCAGCAAGAGAAAGAGAAGCUGGAACACCAGUUUGCAGCUGGUGCUCUUGCCCAGCAGGUGAUGUUGAAAGAAAAAGAAUCUUUAGCACAAAGAUUAAAGAUGCAGGUGAAGAAGCUUCAAGGUCGUUUGGAUGAAGAUCGAAAAACAUUGGAAGAUCAAUUAAGGUUGGAAGAAGAGCAGAGAAAUCACAUUCUCCAAGAAAAGGAGAAAGUGCUCCAUCAGUUAGAAGAGGAAAAGGCCAACCUUGAGCGUGUAUUAGAAGAAGAACGCCAUCGUCUGCAGGAGCAACUUGAGGCGACAGAGUAUCACAAAGAAGAAUUACGACAGCAGUUAGAAGCCAAAGAAUCUGCAAUCCUUGCUAAAGAAGUUGAAAAGAAGAAGGCAGAACAGGAGAAAGAAAGGUUGGAAGAUGAGUUGGCAAAGGAGCGACUCAGACUUGCAAAGGAACUAGAAAGCGUUAAAAAUCAUUAUGUAGAAAAAGAGCGGAAAAAUUUCCUUCUUGGCUCUAUGCUGAAAGAGAAGGAAGAGUCGUUGCGUACUGAAUUGUUAAGUGGCUUACAAAAUGAAUUGCAAACCCUGGAAGCCCAAAAUAUGUCCUUAGAACAGGAACUUGAGUCAACAGCUGUUGCAACAAAAUAUGCGAGGGAGGAAGUGGUGGAGUCUGUCUCUGGCGUCUUAGAGAAUGAGCUUCAGUGCUCUAUCUGCAAUGAACUCCUCAUUACUGCCAUAACGUUGAACUGCAGUCACACGUUCUGUAGAUAUUGCAUCGACCGGUGGAAGAAAAACAAGCGAGAGUGUCCAAACUGUCGUGCUUCCAUAACGUCAGAGACACGAUCUUUAGUUGUAGAUAAUUUCAUUGAAAAAAUUGUGCCAACUCUGUCUGAAGAAAUGAAGAAGAAGAGAGCAGAUAUUGUUGCUGAGAGAAAAGCUGAAAUAGAAGUAUGCUCUUUGGCCCAGGCUGCAGCAGCAACACAAAGGGGAAGAAGAGGAAGGAGAAGAGGAGCAAGAAGACAAAAUGCUCCAAACAGAGCUGGAUGGGAGGAUCUUGCUCAGUUUCAAAUCAUCAUACCCCUUCUUCAAGAAGAAGCUGUGAGUGUAGUUGAUAAUAAUAGCCGGACGAAUAUUCCACAAGGACGUACUGCUCCAAUAAUUGAGAGUCUACCAGUACAUCAAAGGCAAGGUAUAUCUGAUUCAGUAGUUCCUCCCGGGAUUGGCAGAGGUGGCAGCUAUCCGUCACCUAAUAAUGGAAUUGAAGCACCUGGAGGAUCUACUGCUACUGACAGCCCUCGGAGCAGUCGAACCUUGAGAAGGCCGGCAGCCAGACCAUCCAUGCGAGCUAAUAGUGGUUUGGGUGCUGCAGAAGAUCCCAUUGUAUUAGGAGCUAAUGAACCACUCUCAACUUACAGAGCGAGUCAAAGACAAGGCCGAUCACAAACCGGAGGAAACCAGACUGGACAUCCUCCUGAUACAAGAAACCCCCAGCCUCAAAGAAAUGAGCCACAGUCUCCUGUACCUGGGACUUCAGGAACAAUAACAGUGAGGAACAGCGAUGAUUUCACGGAUUCAGACUCAUCCACAUUGUCGGGGGAUGAAAGUUAUUAUGGGGGUUAUGGGCGGUGCUUCAACUGUGGUCGUCGUGGUCACUGGGCCGGCGGCUGUCCUUACAACUGGUAAGACUCCAUCAACAUUCAACUUUCAUUUGCAUAUUUUGAUACUACAAGACUGGACUCCGCUCCCUCAUAUCAACUGAAUAUCCUCGCAUAAAGUGUUUUCCUUCUGUAUAAACUAAAGUUUUGCAAAAAUCAAAGUGUGAUAUUUUUGUCUCAAAUAAUAUGUCAGUGGAAUAGCCUCACUCUGACGGCAAAGCUGAGAAGGCGUCGGUCAGGAAAGCAACGUGAUAAAAGAAUCUCAUAAAUACCAGACUUAAGGUUCAUAAUGACAACAGCUUCAUUUAUAUACGCUCCUAUAUUGCAUCAAAUCUGAACUGUACUUGAUGCCUCUGAACAUUCCAGAAUGCUCAAAUUUGGAUGUACUGUAUUAUUUGAAUAUUUUUUUUUCCCACCAGUUGGAAAUCAUAUGCAACUGCCAUUGUUCAGUAAUCUUUAUUUUGUACCAUUUUCAAAGGUGUCAGAUUAUUUAAGGGGUAUAUUUUUAUUCCCGUCUGUUGAAAUCGUUCAAUUUAUAGAAAAAAUUUCAAUCUCAUAGUACAGUACAGUAGUCCUGUGAACUAGAGAUGUGUUGAUUAAUUCACCAGUACUGUAGUGACUCCUUUUAUGUUGAUAUAUAAUACAGGAUAGUAUUUUCUACUUUGUUUUAUUUAUUUUUUUUUUCAUAAAAUUUUCUUCCCAACUGUUUUUCCCAUCCCCUUUGUGUGAGGUUUGUUUAUGUCCUUAAUCCAACACUUCACAUAGGAAUGGGAAAAGGUAACAGCUAAUGGGUAGAUAUGUACUGCAGUAUAACAUUUUAAUUAACAAGUGCUCUACUAUACUGUAUAUGGUAAGGGACAGGAAUGGGCAAAUAUUGUUUUGUAUCCUUUCAUUUGCUUGUCUAAGUUUGAUAUGUAAUGUAAAAGAAUUAUUUUAUGUUUGAAAUAAAAGACUUUGAGUGCUAAAUUUGUUGUUACAAAAAGUUUAAUGGUUAUUUUUUUUUUCAUUUAUGUAAUCAUGUCAUGGUCCUCAGUAACAUUAUUUAGAUAUGUUGCCCAACUCAGGUAUGUUUCAUGUUCUGGAACUGUACUUCAAUUAUUUGAAUAUAAAAGUUCAGUACAGUAUCAUAAAUAAAUGAUGUGAUAUAUAAAAAGCAUAAAUUUUACUUUACUUUUCUGUGGAAGAAGUUGAAGUUUUUAUUUGAGGCCAUAGCUCUCUCCUGUACUUGAUUAGUCUUCUUUAUCUUAAAUAAAUUGAAGAUCUUGUGGGUUUUUUA